rnacentral:rRNA from 1 species
UACGUAGGGUGCAAGCGUUUAAUCGGAAUUACUGGGCGUAAAGCGUGCGCAGGCGGUUAUGCAAGACAGAUGUGAAAUCCCCGGGCUCAACCUGGGAACUGCAUUUGUGACUGCAUAGCUAGAGUGCGGCAGAGGGAGAUGGAAUUCCGCGUGUAGCAGUGAAAUGCGUAGAUAUGCGGAGGAACACCGAUGGCGAAGGCAAUCUCCUGGGCCUGCACUGACGCUCAUGCACGAAAGGCGUGGGGAGCAAACAGG